rnacentral:lncRNA from 1 species
UCCAUUGAUAUCAUUUAUCUCUCAAGCCUAGGCUGUUUGAGGUAUGGGUCAUCGACCACAUGCGUAACCUUCACCUUUCUUGAUCCUUCACAAUCCUCAGGGUGGAUCACCCUAUCAACCUGAUGUCGGGUUCCCCGACCUUCCUAUUUAGCCAUCCAAAGACAGCCACAAUUGUUGGGAUCUUCGACUCCUCAACCUUCUUCCCGAGGCUCCCUAGUAAGGCUCCUGUGUCCU